rnacentral:rRNA from 1 species
GGGUUGUGAGGUUAAGCGACUAAGCGUACACGGUGGAUGCCCUGGCAGUCAGAGGCGAUGAAGGACGUGCUAAUCUGCGAUAAGCGUCGGUAAGGUGAUAUGAACCGUUAUAACCGGCGAUUUCCGAAUGGGGAAACCCAGUGUGAUUCGUCACACUAUCAUUAACUGAAUCCAUAGGUUAAUGAGGCGAACCGGGGGAACUGAAACAUCUAAGUACCCCGAGGAAAAGAAAUCAACCGAGAUUCCCCCAGUAGCGGCGAGCGAACGGGGAGCAGCCCAGAGCCUGAAUCAGUGUGUGUGUUAGUGGAAGCGUCUGGAAAGGCGCGCGAUACAGGGUGACAGCCCCGUACACAAAAAUGCACAUGCUGUGAGCUCGAUGAGUAGGGCGGGACACGUGGUAUCCUGUCUGAAUAUGGGGGGACCAUCCUCCAAGGCUAAAUACUCCUGACUGACCGAUAGUGAACCAGUACCGUGAGGGAAAGGCGAAAAGAACCCCGGCGAGGGGAGUGAAAAAGAACCUGAAACCGUGUACGUACAAGCAGUGGGAGCCUCUUUAUGGGGUGACUGCGUACCUUUUGUAUAAUGGGUCAGCGACUUAUAUUCUGUAGCAAGGUUAACCGAAUAGGGGAGCCGAAGGGAAACCGAGUCUUAACUGGGCGUUAAGUUGCAGGGUAUAGACCCGAAACCCGGUGAUCUAGCCAUGGGCAGGUUGAAGGUUGGGUAACACUAACUGGAGGACCGAACCGACUAAUGUUGAAAAAUUAGCGGAUGACUUGUGGCUGGGGGUGAAAGGCCAAUCAAACCGGGAGAUAGCUGGUUCUCCCCGAAAGCUAUUUAGGUAGCGCCUCGUGAAUUCAUCUCCGGGGGUAGAGCACUGUUUCGGCAAGGGGGUCAUCCCGACUUACCAACCCGAUGCAAACUGCGAAUACCGGAGAAUGUUAUCACGGGAGACACACGGCGGGUGCUAACGUCCGUCGUGAAGAGGGAAACAACCCAGACCGCCAGCUAAGGUCCCAAAGUCAUGGUUAAGUGGGAAACGAUGUGGGAAGGCCCAGACAGCCAGGAUGUUGGCUUAGAAGCAGCCAUCAUUUAAAGAAAGCGUAAUAGCUCACUGGUCGAGUCGGCCUGCGCGGAAGAUGUAACGGGGCUAAACCAUGCACCGAAGCUGCGGCAGCGACACUAUGUGUUGUUGGGUAGGGGAGCGUUCUGUAAGCCUGCGAAGGUGUACUGUGAGGUAUGCUGGAGGUAUCAGAAGUGCGAAUGCUGACAUAAGUAACGAUAAAGCGGGUGAAAAGCCCGCUCGCCGGAAGACCAAGGGUUCCUGUCCAACGUUAAUCGGGGCAGGGUGAGUCGACCCCUAAGGCGAGGCCGAAAGGCGUAGUCGAUGGGAAACAGGUUAAUAUUCCUGUACUUGGUGUUACUGCGAAGGGGGGACGGAGAAGGCUAUGUUGGCCGGGCGACGGUUGUCCCGGUUUAAGCGUGUAGGCUGGUUUUCCAGGCAAAUCCGGAAAAUCAAGGCUGAGGCGUGAUGACGAGGCACUACGGUGCUGAAGCAACAAAUGCCCUGCUUCCAGGAAAAGCCUCUAAGCAUCAGGUAACAUCAAAUCGUACCCCAAACCGACACAGGUGGUCAGGUAGAGAAUACCAAGGCGCUUGAGAGAACUCGGGUGAAGGAACUAGGCAAAAUGGUGCCGUAACUUCGGGAGAAGGCACGCUGAUAUGUAGGUGAAGCGACUUGCUCGUGGAGCUGAAAUCAGUCGAAGAUACCAGCUGGCUGCAACUGUUUAUUAAAAACACAGCACUGUGCAAACACGAAAGUGGACGUAUACGGUGUGACGCCUGCCCGGUGCCGGAAGGUUAAUUGAUGGGGUUAGCGGUAACGCGAAGCUCUUGAUCGAAGCCCCGGUAAACGGCGGCCGUAACUAUAACGGUCCUAAGGUAGCGAAAUUCCUUGUCGGGUAAGUUCCGACCUGCACGAAUGGCGUAAUGAUGGCCAGGCUGUCUCCACCCGAGACUCAGUGAAAUUGAACUCGCUGUGAAGAUGCAGUGUACCCGCGGCAAGACGGAAAGACCCCGUGAACCUUUACUAUAGCUUGACACUGAACAUUGAGCCUUGAUGUGUAGGAUAGGUGGGAGGCUUUGAAGUGUGGACGCCAGUCUGCAUGGAGCCGACCUUGAAAUACCACCCUUUAAUGUUUGAUGUUCUAACGUUGGCCCCUAAU